UACGUAGGGUGCAAGCGUUAAUCGGAAUUACUGGGCGUAAAGCGUGCGCAGGCGGUUUUGUAAGUCUGUCGUGAAAUCCCCGGGCUUAACCUGGGAAUGGCAUUUGGGACUGCAAGGCUUGAGUGCGGCAGAGGAGACUGGAAUUCCUGGUGUAGCAGUGAAAUGCGUAGAUAUCAGGAGGAAUACCGAUGGCGAAGGCAGGUCUCUGGGCUGACACUGACGCUCAUGCACGAAAGCGUGGGGAGCAAACAGG
rnacentral:rRNA from 1 species